GUGGGGAAUAUUGGACAAUGGGCGAAAGCCUGAUCCAGCCAUGCCGCGUGUGUGAAGAAGGUCUUCGGAUUGUAAAGCACUUUAAGUUGGGAGGAAGGGCAUUAACCUAAUACGUUAGUGCUUUGACGUUACCGACAGAAUAAGCACCGGCUAACUCUGUGCCAGCAGCCGCGGUAAUACAGAGGGUGCAAGCGUUAAUCGGAAUUACUGGGCGUAAAGCGCGCGUAGGUGGUUUGUUAAGUUGAAUGUGAAAUCCCCGGGCUCAACCUGGGAACUGCAUCCAAAACUGGCAAGCUAGAGUAUGGUAGAGGGUGGUGGAAUUUCCUGUGUAGCGGUGAAAUGCGUAGAUAUAGGAAGGAACACCAGUGGCGAAGGCGACCACCUGGACUGAUACUGACACUGAGGUGCGAAAGCGUGGGGAGCAAACAGGAUUAGAAACCCGAGUAGUCC
rnacentral:rRNA from 1 species